rnacentral:rRNA from 1 species
GUGAUAGGAGCGACGGGGACACACCUGGUCCCAUCUCGAACCCAGCCGUUAAGCCCGUUAGCGCCGAUGGUACUGGGGGGGCAGCCCCCUGGGAGAGUAGGUCAUUGCCA